CUACGGGAGGCUGCAGUGGGGAAUAUUGCACAAUGGGCGCAAGCCUGAUGCAGCCAUGCCGCGUGUAUGAAGAAGGCCUUCGGGUUGUAAAGUACUUUCAGCGGGGAGGAAGGGAGUAAAGUUAAUACCUUUGCUCAUUGACGUUACCCGCAGAAGAAGCACCGGCUAACUCCGUGCCAGCAGCCGCGGUAAUACGGAGGGUGCAAGCGUUAAUCGGAAUUACUGGGCGUAAAGCGCACGCAGGCGGUUUGUUAAGUCAGAUGUGAAAUGCCCGGGCUCAACCUGGGAACUGCAUCUGAUACUGGCAAGCUUGAGCCUCGUAGAGGGGGGUAGAAUUCCAGGUGUAGCGGUGAAAUGCGUAGAGAUCUGGAGGAAUACCGGUGGCGAAGGCGGCCCCCUGGACGAAGACUGACGCUCAGGUGCGAAAGCGUGGGGAGCAAACAGGAUUAGAUACCCUAGUAGUC
rnacentral:rRNA from 1 species